UCGGGAAUUUUGGGCAAUGGGCGAAAGCCUGACCCAGCAACGCCGCGUGAAGGAUGAAGUAUUUCGGUAUGUAAACUUCGAAAGAAUAGGAAGAAUAAAUGACGGUACUAUUUAUAAGGUCCGGCUAACUACGUGCCAGCAGCCGCGGUAAUACGUAGGGACCAAGCGUUGUUCGGAUUUACUGGGCGUAAAGCGCACGUAGGCGGAUCAGCAAGUCAGGGGUGAAAUCCCGGGGCUCAACCUCGGAACUGCCUCUGAUACUGCUAGUCUAGAGUCCGGAAGAGGUGGGUGGAAUUCCUAGUGUAGAGGUGAAAUUCGCAGAUAUUAGGAAGAACACCGGUGGCGAAGGCGGCCCACUGGUCCGGUACUGACGCUGAGGUGCGAAAGCGUGGGUAGCAAACAGGAUUAGAUACCCAAGUAGUCCCUGAGCGGGCUGGCAAGGCGCAU
rnacentral:rRNA from 1 species